GCUAAACCAUGCACCGAAGCUGCGGCAGCGACGCUGAUGCGUUGUUGGGUAGGGGAGCGUUCUGUAAGCCUGCGAAGGUGUGCUGUGAGGCAUGCUGGAGGUAUCAGAAGUGCGAAUGCUGACAUAAGUAACGAUAAAGCGGGUGAAAAGCCCGCUCGCCGGAAGACCAAGGGUUCCUGUCCAACGUUAAUCGGGGCAGGGUGAGUCGACCCCUAAGGCGAGGCCGAAAGGCGUAGUCGAUGGGAAACAGGUUAAUAUUCCUGUACUUGGUGUUACUGCGAAGGGGGGACGGAGAAGGCUAUGUUGGCCGGGCGACGGUUGUCCCGGUUUAAGCGUGUAGGCUGGUUUUCCAGGCAAAUCCGGAAAAUCAAGGCUGAGGCGUGAUGACGAGGCACUACGGUGCUGAAGCAACAAAUGCCCUGCUUCCAGGAAAAGCCUCUAAGCAUCAGGUAACAUCAAAUCGUACCCCAAACCGACACAGGUGGUCAGGUAGAGAAUACCAAGGCGCUUGAGAGAACUCGGGUGAAGGAACUAGGCAAAAUGGUGCCGUAACUUCGGGAGAAGGCACGC
rnacentral:rRNA from 1 species